GGCAGAGGGUGCAACCGUUGUUCGGAAUUACUGGGCGUAAAGCGAGUGUAGGCGGUGUGGUAAGUCGGAUGUGAAAGCCCCGGGCUCAACCCGGGAAGUGCACUCGAUACUGCCACGCUAGAGUAUCGGAGAGGUUGGUGGAAUUCUCGGUGUAGAGGUGAAAUUCGUAGAUAUCGAGAGGAACACCGGUGGCGAAGGCGGCCAACUGGACGAAUACUGACGCUGAGACUCGAAAGCGUGGGGAGCAAACAGG
rnacentral:rRNA from 1 species